rnacentral:rRNA from 1 species
AGCGAACGCUGGCGGCAGGCCUAACACAUGCAAGUCGAACGAAGUCUUCGGACUUAGUGGCGGACGGGUGAGUAACACGUGGGAACGUGCCCUUUGGUACGGAACAACUCAGGGAAACUUGAGCUAAUACCGUAUGUGCCCUUCGGGGGAAAGAUUUAUCGCCAUUGGAGCGGCCCGCGUCUGAUUAGCUAGUUGGUGAGGUAAAGGCUCACCAAGGCGACGAUCAGUAGCUGGUCUGAGAGGAUGAUCAGCCACAUUGGGACUGAGACACGGCCCAAACCCUAACGGGGGGAAGAAGUGGGGAUUCUGGCGCAAGGGCGAAAGCCUGACGCAGCCAUGCCGCGUGAAUGAUGAAGGUCUUAGGAUUGUAAAAUUCUUUCACCGGGGACGAUAAUGACGGUACCCGGAGAAGAAGCCCCGGCUAACUUCGUGCCAGCCGCCGCCGUAUAAC